CACAGAGCCUGAUGUGGGGCUUGAACUCACGGACUGCGAGAUCAUGACCUGAGCUGAAGUUGGACGCUCAACCGAGUGAGCCAUCCAGGUGCCGCUGGUAUUUUUGAUUUUUGUCUUCAGUUACUUAUUCCAUGUUUCUUUGAGUUCAGCCAGAACAUCAGUGGAUUAGUCUUUUACUAGGUGGAAUGGUCUAAACCUUCAUUGCCAUCUGAGCUACUGGUGGUCUGUUUAUUAUCACAGAAAUCUUCCAUUAACUCCUACUAUAUUUAGUAUUACCACAGGGUUCCAUCCAUACUUCUUCCAUCCUUUAUCAUGAAGCAGCAAGACUGUUCACUCAGCCAACACUCUAACCCUCCCCACACCUUCCAAACCACUGGAAUCAUCACUGUGUUCCUCUUGUAUUUCUCCUUUGCUCACCUCUCAAUCAGCAAAGCCCAGAAUCACAGGGAAUGGAGGCAGAGACUUUGGGUCACUGAGGUAUUAACAGAGGAGUGCUAUCCCCCUUCCUCUUUAGUUCCCAGACCCUUGCUUAUAUAGAGGCCGUGGUCAUGGAUUCACAGCAUAUAACAACUGUACUGUAUUUAUUCCAACCUCACCAAUCGCGGUCUCCUUGGAAGGCCAGCUGAUUCAGGGUGCUGGGUAUUUAUGUUGAAUAUAGUGAAUUCUGCUGGCAUAGCCUACCAUCUUCCUCUUCAAUGUGAAGAAAAUUUUGUGAUCAGAAAGCAAGUGUCCAAUGGGAUAACUUAACAACAUAAAAACAUGUGAGUGAGUCCUUGAAAGAUGGUAUUGGCAGAUGGAGGACAAAGCAAACCCAAUUCCAGAAUGUGCCCCUCCAGGGAGGACAAAUUGCUGCUUCUUUCUGUGCUCAUUCUAAGAAAUUGGACCAUACUUUUCCCGCAGACCUCCUUACUACCAGUGCUCUAGUCCUGCUCUCACAAAUCUCUGAUCACCAGGUUAUUAGCCACAGGACUAUGGAUUAGCAUGGAUUUUUAUAUCAGUCAUCUCUACCUCCUGCCACAAUGGAAGAGAUGUGUUGCUCCAAAAUUCUGCUGCCUUGGAGGGUUUUCUGUGUCCACUGGUCAUCAGGGCUAGUAUAGUAACAGUGCCUUCACUUAGACGGGUAGGUCACAGUGGAGUUCUGGGUCUCCGGGAAUUAACAUUAGCACAGGCCCAGUGUCUCUGAUAAUCCCCAGAAUGUCUGGUUAUUUCUCAGGAUACCUGGCAAUGGUCUGGUGAGUGGCUUCAGGUCCUUUGGGGAAAACUUGGAGGAAGCAAGAUCCAUAGCAAGUACUUAUGAUGUUAUUUCAGGGCCCUUUCCCUAGACAUCUGGCUUCCUCUUUCUUUGACCUGGACCUGAGACUGGGUCAGGUGCCAUGACUAUGUUGUGACGACUCCAAUCAGACCUUUGUUUAUUAAGUGGAAGAUUUUUAAAUUCUAAAAAUCAAAUAGGAUCUUUGACCAUCUAUUGUGGUCUUCAGGACUCCACAAUUAGUUGGGCAGCACCAAAGAACCCUGCGGGUCAGACCCUUGUAAUAAAUGCACUGUCUUCUGGUUAUGGUAGCCACAUCACCUGGCUUCACACAUUGCAGCUACCUGGUCUCUGCUAUCCCAGGAUCCACUCAUCCCCACUGAAACCAGAAAGCCCAUUUGUACUGCAAUGUCUCCCUAUCAAUUGCAUCUCCCACCAGUUGUCACAGUUUCUACGGACAGAGUCACUCAACAAUCUUUCCAGCACUCUCUCCCUUGCCUUCCUAUGCUCCUUGGCAAGUGAAUUACUGAGUCACGUGAUUUCCAUUACAGCCACACAUGGCUAUGUGACAUAGUUCUAGAUAGCACAAGGAAGUAGAAAUCCCUGGGACAGGCUUUCUUCCUGAAAUGAGGGCACAACCUUUAAAGAUGCAGCAACCAUCUUCAAACAUGAAGGUGAGAACCAUGGGUGACUGAGGCAGUGCAAGAACACAAGGAGCCUGUUUCCCUGAGAGCACCACUGAGGUGACCUACUAGCCCUAGGUGUCCUAUGCCCAGAUUUUUUUAUAUGCCAGAGGCAGAUAAACCUCUUGAUUACUUCUCUGAGUAGGGUACCUAUUAAAACCAAGAUCAAUCCUAACAAAUACACCAGUGUAUUUCUAAAGCCUUGUUGAGGAAGUAUUUUCUGAUACCCCCUCUAUCUUGGGGGACAUGGUUGGGUAGUGGUAAGUUGGUGAGUUAGACAUGAUUCAUUCACUCAACAUGUCUAUCUCACAGUCUUUGAAUUUCUUCCUUUAUGUUACACAAAGGUAUUUCAGCCAUCUCAGUGAGGUAGGAGGGCUAAAAGGACUCCACUUAUUUUUAUUUAUUACUUUUUCAAAGAAAGUUUUGGUUUAUUAUUUAUUUGAGAGAAAGAGCAUGUGCGCACAUGAGCAGGAGAGAGGGGAAAACGGAAACAAACAGGCUCCACCCUCAGCACAGAGCCCUACUUGGGGCUCUAUCCCAUGACCAUGAGAUCAUGACCUGAGCCAAAAUCAAGUCAGAGGCUUAACUGAGCUACCUAGGUGGGUAGCUACCCAGGUGGGACCCCUAAAGGGUUCCAUUUUAUAAAGGCUCCAUCCCUGCUGUUUUUCUGCUAGGCCUCAUUUACUUGUAUUCCAUAUUUUGCCUCUGAAGAAGCCCAAGCAGCCAUGUUCUCACUUCAAGGAGGAAGCAAGAAAGUUAAUCCUUUCCUGAGUUUUGUCCUAGGCCCCCAAACACCUGAUGACAUCUAAGAAGAUCCAGAUCCCAAACAUGUUCUAGGACAUUAGCUUCAAACAAAUCUUAGGUUACACUGGCAUCAAAACCCCUUACCUUCGGUAAUUUAUGGAAUAACACCAUAGUUCACCUGACACGCACCUUUGGUCGGAUCCUACCCUGGAUUCCCUGGGGGAACAUGUACCCUAGAUUCCUCCCUUCCAAUACAAACCCCUAACCCCAAGUGACAGGCAUUCUUUCCUUUCUGAGUCUCCCAGACCUCCAUCUGCUACUCUCUACCUGUCACACCACUCAAUAAACUCUGUUUUCACUUUCUCUGGCUCACGUUUGAUUUCUAUCCUGCACAAAGCCAAGGACCCUCCUCUGGGUCCUUGGACCUGGCUUACCCACGUCAUAUUUUGAUGACAUGAAGGAACCCUUAGAGGAACAACGGUACCCCAAACUACAUCUGUGUAGUACAAUUUGACCUCCUCACUACGCAGGGGUACUGGUAUGUUCCUCCUCUGGGAAACAGAGUUGGAAAGUACAGGGUUACUUCCUAUCUCUGUACUUUUUCUGUGAACUGGACUGUUCUCUGGGAAGAAGGAAAUGUGGAAAAACAUGUCUGGGGACCUGUUCUCACUCUCUCCUCUCCUGGUGCACCUCCAGGGAUCCCAAGACAGAGCAGAAUCUCAUGGUGGUGCACCAGGGCUCACUGGUGCAUUUCCCCAGGCUAGUAACUCAGAUGACCACAGGAGGUUACUCCUGCUUUCUGUGUGCUCUGCUGGCUCCAAGUUUUACUUUCACCACAAACUCUCUCCACUCUGGCUUCUGGACAAUUUCAAGGCUGUUGGUUGGCAUAAGAGACUGAGUCACUAGCUCUGAAGAAAUGGGACUCUUGCUUCUUUUCCCCGAAGGGAACAGUCCUAUAGGGAACUCUCUCUCAUGGCAAUUAAUUAUCUGGCUCGGCCAGGAAUGCACAUGGAAGGAUUGAUCAUCCAGUGCUGUGACAAACCCCUACAGCAGUUUUAGACUGCUGCUUGGGAAAAACCAAGACACAUCAAAGAGGAAGAUCAGUUCCUUGGUGACUAUCUGGGAAGUUGUCCCCGUAAGUAGCCCAUUCCACCCACCACUUUGUUCCCCUAGAAUAGACUCCUAACUGUCUCUUUACUUUUUUGUCCACUGUCAGGUGACUGUGUCAUUGCAGUUCUGGUACAUCAGGAUUGAAUUGAGGCAAUUCCGGGACAGUAGAACUGCCUUAAAGAUUGUUGGACAAUGCUGUUGUUGGACCAAAGGAUGGUCCUGCCGCCCCAGUUGCGCUGGGUUAUUGGAUGAUGGUAGAGGAGACACACGGCGGGCUGGAAAUGUGGCAGGGUCCACUGGGGCCUUUGCCUGUCGGGGGGGCCACACAGUCUCUACCAAACAACCUCCCUGCACUGGAAUCGCCUCUCCCCAUGUGGCUCAAGGACCCCUGGAUUCACUCUGCUCCUGGGGAUUUGCCCUUCUCACCAGAGCACUGUCAGGUCUUGAAAUAAUCUCUUCAACACCUAUAAUGGCUGAUCCAAAUGAUACUCAGCACUUCCUUAGGUACGUGUGGUUCUCAGCUGGUGAAGGAAUCCUUGACUUGCAGGAACCAAGUGUGAUUUAUCACUGCUUCACUCAAAAUAGGGCCUUGGCAGCCGGUAAAGCCAUUAAAGAUAUUGUGCGUCUCAACCCUAAAAAUAAUUCUGAAGAAAUACUUGCAGUGAGUGAACUGUGACAGGAGUUUCUCCAGGUGGAUCCUUCAUUCAUGUGUCUAAGGCUGACUGCUGUAUGUAGAUCACUAUGGACAGGUAGGGUUAAUGGGGGCUACCAUCUGCUACUUCCUAGUUCACAUCCAUCAUCAUCUGGUCCUUGUAGACACUACUCAAAGUUCUUUGUCAUAUAAAUACUUUACACUUAUGGUUUACUUUGUCUACACAUAGAAUCAUUAUUCCCAAAUUACCAAUGAUUAGUUUGUUUUUUCACACAUAAAAAAACAGGACCUUGCUUAUUGUAGGCACUCAAAUAUAUCCUUAAUGAAUAUUAACUCAAAAUAUAUAAUCAUGUGAAAACAGAACUGCAGGGCAAAGACAAUAUCUUGGUGAAAGAUUCCAAUGGCAAGCAGUACCUGGCACAUGGUAAGUGUUUAUUAACAUGUGUUGUGUAUGUACCUACAUAGAGCAAUGGACGUGACUAAGGUACUUGAUCUAAAGAGUCCCUUCAUUUGCAGGGAGGUUUCAGAGUUUUUGGCAGACAAGAAAGAAGGUCAACACAACAUACUGAAGAACACUGGAUUACGAGUAAGCAGAGUGGUUCAUGGAGCUCUUUUGCUACAGGAAGGCCAUUUAACCAUCUGGGGUCUUGGCUGCCCAUACUCUUGGCCAUCAGACCCAGUGGUUCCCACUCAGCUCCCCCUAGCAUGCCUGAUCUGGACUCCAGUUCAACAGAUGGCAGUGACCUUUUAACUCUCCUGCCCUGGUGCUGACCACAGUGGCACUGCAGUGAUGGCCUCUGCAGUACUGGGUAUGGUAUCUGCAGCAUUACCCGAAUAUCUUGUUGCACUUUGUCCUUAUUGUUUAACAAAUGUGGAUGGUAGAUAGCAAUAAGAAAUCCUGAUACUUGUGAUAACAGGUCCCACACGCCAUUGCCUUUUUGUCAGUUGAGACAUGCGUGGAAAUCACUAGUACACUAAAUCCUUAGCCAAACCAGUUGCUUCUUUUUUUUUUUUUUUUUAAGUUUAUUUAUUUAAGUAAACCCCACAUCCAGUGUGGAGAUCCCCAAGAUCAAGAGCCACAUGCUCUUCUGACUGAGCCAGCCAGGUGCCCCCCAAACCAGCUGCUUCUGGACUCAAUCUGUAAACUGUAUGUUCAGCUGUGAGAGUGAUACACAAAUUUGAAAACAUGAUGGAUAUCAAUUUCUACUCUUCAUUGAGUGCUUACUCUGUUAAGUGUUUAACAUACAUGAUCUUGCUUGACCCACUGAGGUAGCUGCUAUUUACAAUCCCUAUUUUAUAGAUGAAGAAACACGAGAGAGGUUGCCACACAGCCCAGUCACACAGCCACUUGCCAGUGCAGCCAGGAGCUGAGCUCGCUCCAUGACUUGUUGACUAUUUUAUCUUUGACAAGUUCAUUAAUUUCUCUGUGCCUCACUAUUUUCAUCCAUAAAGUGGGAAUAACAGCAGCACUUCAUGGAGGGGAUUGAAUGAAGUAAAGCAUGUGACAUGCUCACCUCGGUGGCUGAUGCAUAGCAAGCACAUGCUAAACUUCAGCUAUUUUAUUCUUAACAAUGAUGAAAGGCUGGAAAUACAGGACAGAUGUUUGCCUGUGUAUACAGACCGUUAGUCUGGGCUAACAAAAAAAAAAAUAAGGUACACAGUAUAACACUUGAGUUUCUCAGCGUUUGGUCCACUUCAGUCAGGUAUGAAGCACUAAUUUGUGUCACUGCCCCCCAAAAGAUAAUUCAGAUCCCAAAACAUCAACAGUAUUUAAUGGCUGCUGCCUGUGCCAGGCCUGCAGGUUUUGGGGCUCUUUUCUAUGUUGCAACUGCUUUCCUAAGGCUUCUGGUUAAAAAAUAACAAUAGGUCAUGUCUCUCUGGAGUAGCAGAUGUCUGUGGGCUUUGGAUCCCAGAAAACCUGACUUCCUCACUCUUGUAUCAAAACAUUUUGGACUCUUUCACCAUGGACUUCUAGUAGAUGUUAAUCACCACCACUAUCCUUAUUCCUCUCACUUCUCCUUAAAGGCAUUUUAGAAUCUCUGUGCCUCCUCUACCCACCAGAUAUCAGGUCUAUACUAUCUCUACUAGUCCAAGCCCCUACUCUGCUUCUUAGACAGUGACUGUCACAGUGACUAGGAUGGUUCACUCUUUCAUGACUCCACACUAUACGUUAGCAUUUCGAGAUACUUAAAAGAGUUAAAAAUAACAUGUUUCAAUAAGCAACUACCCCUCAGCUCUGGAUGAGAUGUCUUAUACCAGCCACCUAUGAGGGAAAAUAGUUUAGAAAAGAACAAGAAAUAAUCACAUACCGUACAGAGGAGCAGAGACCUUUGGACUAACCCAACAUUUGGCAGCAUAUCACACAACAGGUCCAAAUCUUCCCUCAGUGACCCUACAGGUGCUUACCUUGUAGAAGAUCGAUUCUGCAGUGAUUAUAGUGGAAACAGACUCAGGAGCUUUGAUGGGCUAGGAAAAAAAACAAAAGCAAACAUAUUAGCACACUCAUAGUGUAUUAUAUGUGUGUAGUGUGUAUAGACAUUUUCCCAGCCAUCUAUGAGAAUUCUGUAACUUCAGAAAUCCUAAAUCUCUUUAUUGACAAGGAAUGCAAUAAAAAGACAAACGAUUUUCUGAAUGUUGUGGCAAGGCAGUUUGAAUAUUUCCACAGAUAUUUCUGCUACCAGCAGCUUAAAAAUUGCUGAGAACCAAAGCACAAGCUUCUGAUUAUGCUGCUUAGAUCCACUGCAUGCACUCUCAAAGCUUUAUUACAUAUUAACAUUCUAGUUAUAAAAAUAUCCUGGCUCCGAUGGCCUGGGCAUGAUAGGAGUGGAAGUCAUAAAAAAUGUGUAGGUGAACACAAGGUGAAAAAGUGUCUCCUUUGAAGACAUUUUCCAUCUCAGCUUAUCUGUGGAACUACUAGGAUACUCAUUGUCAUCAGAAGUAAUUUUCUAGCAAGGCUGAACUAAGGCUAUAUGAAGUUUCCUUGGGAGUUCUUAGUAAAUUUGUCACCACCCAACCAUUCCUGAAAUCCCUUCUAAAGCUGCAGUAUAUGCUGUGUGCCACAACACAAAAACCAGGCCUCCCCAAAUAUGUCUUGGCAUCAUCCUUGAAGAAAGGGGUUGCUAGAGAAAUUGAUACUGAAAUAACUGCAGGGCAUAUUCAGCCACACAUGAGAGGAAAAUAUGUGUUUAAGUGACACAACUAUAGUCAAACGCACACUUACUUAACAUGCUUUGUCUAGUCAAUAAAUGCCUCAUUUUAAGAAAACUAAAUUAUAAAAGUCUUAAGUAAAUUAGGGGCAACUCUUCUCAAUGGGAAAAGAAUCUGCAAUCUGCACAAGAAUAUACUGCAGGGCCCCUGUGUUUUACAAAUGAAUAUGCCCAACUUCAGAAAUGCCUUUGCAGGUAAGUGAAACAUUCCUGUUCUGAAAGAACACCAUACUAAGGUUUAUUUUAUUUUUUUCACCAUACUAAGGUUUAAAAAAAGUAGUCUACAUUUGUGUUUGGCCAUUUUCCCCUUGUGUUUACAAAAAUCCUGAGUAUUUAACUGCAAAAAAGGCGCUUUCAACUACCCCCAGCACAAGUCUGUCAACCAUCUAUUUUCUUACAGCAGAAGAAAAGGUUAGCAAAAUAUUUGAUUCAUAUUCAUCAAACUGAUCAUCAUAAGUCAGUAAGAUACAGUUUCUGGGGCUGUAAUAACAAACAUGUAAAUGAAUAAGUUACGGUAUUAUUUACUUCAAUCUUUAAAGAAUAAAAAGAAAUUUUUUUUCCUAAUAUACCUGGUGAUACCAAGAACCAUAAUCCCACCUCCUCCUUUGCACAGAGGACCCAAUAAAAUGCAUUUGAGGCCUA